rnacentral:lncRNA from 1 species
GAAAUAAUUGUGCCACCGGGCCUGUAAUCAUAUUGCCUAUGCUUUGUUAGAAUGUUUAAGGAGGGUCUUGAAACAAUACAUCACAGGAUGAAAGGAAUUUGAGUCAUGCCGUCCGUUUUGGGUGUUCCGAUGAAAUUUCGUCAGUGCCUCCUUGAAUGUCCUAAUUAGAACCUCACAAGUCGUCCCGAUGUACUGAGUUAUUUUUUUUAGUAGAAAUCAACCCACCCUUUGAGCUCCAUUAGCUUAUCAGGAGUUUAGCUUUGGCAAGGGCUGCCAGUGGCCUCUUCAAAGCGCCCAAUUUACCUUUAUCUUUUUCGUCCCACAAUCAUUUACUACCUUACUUCAGGACCUCGUAUCUUUUACUGACUUUAUCCAUUCUAACUGAUGACAUUUGCUCUAUAAUAUCAUAACUUAAUUUUUAUAAAAUUUAUGUGGGGGAUAAUUCCCGUUUAAUUACAUUAACAAGAGAAUCAUAAAAAGAGACUGAUAAAAUAUGCUAGCAUGCGUUCUAUUGUGUGUGUGUUGGGGGGGGGGGGGGGAUGUCAUACUGCUUUGAGAACGAAUGUGGUUCCAACAAUCUAUCCUUUAAUUUGCUGUCCGUACAUGUCUCUGCUCUGAAACAACUGAUUGGAACCUGAAGUUUACUGUGGCCGACCACACAGUCUCCCCACACCAUACUUCGUUCACUGCACAGAAACCGCAGAGCUGCAACUCCCUUGUCUUGAGCUCUAAAUUGGUCUAGGACAGCCUAGUUGUCUAGGGAAAUAUGCCCUUCUCUGGUAGUGCUACAAGCAGAAUUUCUCCAUUCUGAAGAUGAUCUGGGAGAGAACAUGCAUAUAAACACAGCCUUCAGGGCGCUAGGCCGCCACCUAAG